rnacentral:rRNA from 1 species
CCCUUAGAUGUUCUGGGCCGCACGCGCGCUACACUGAUGCAUUCAACGAGUCUACAACCUGGUCUGAUAGGGCUGGGUAAUCUUUUGAAUGUGCAUCGUGAUUGGGAUAGAUGAUUGCAAUUCUUCAUCUUCAACGAGGAAUGCCUAGUAAACGCAAGUCAUCAGCUUGCAUUGAUUACGUCCCUGCCCUUUGUACACACCGCCCGUCGCACCUACCGAUUGAAUGGUCCGGUGAAAUCUCCGGACUGGCGUGAGUCGGAGCAAUCUGACAAACACCGGAAAGUUGAUUAAACCUUACCAUUUAGAGGAAGGUGAAGUCGUAACA